UACGGAGGGUGCAAGCGUUAAUCGGAAUUACUGGGCGUAAAGCGCACGCAGGCGGUUUCUUAAGUUUGAUGUGAAAGCCCCCGGCUCAACCGGGGAGGGUCAUUGGAAACUGGGAGGCUGGAGUGCAGAAGAGGGGAGUGGAAUUCCAUGUGUAGCGGUGAAAUGCGUAGAGAUAUGGAGGAACACCAGUGGCGAAGGCGGCUCCCUGGACUGAAACUGACGCUGAGGCACGAAAGCGUGGGGAGCAAACAGG
rnacentral:rRNA from 1 species